AGUGAACGCUGGCGGUAUGCCUAACACAUGCAAGUCGAACGGCAGCACAGUAAGAGCUCGCCCUUACGGGUGGCGAGUGGCGGACGGGUGAGGAAUACAUCGGAAUCUACUUUUUCGUGGGGGAUAACGUAGGGAAACUUACGCUAAUACCGCAUACGACCUACGGGUGAAAGCAGGGGAUCUUCGGACCUUGCGCGAUUGAAUGAGCCGAUGUCGGAUUAGCUAGUUGGCGGGGUAACGGCCCACCAAGGCGACGAUCCGUAGCUGGUCUGAGAGGAUGAUCAGCCACACUGGAACUGAGACACGGUCCAGACUCCUACGGGAGGCAGCAGUGGGGAAUAUUGGACAAUGGGCGCAAGCCUGAUCCAGCCAUACCGCGUGGGUGAAGAAGGCCUUCGGGUUGUAAAGCCCUUUUGUUGGGAAAGAAAAGCAGCAGGUUAAUACCCCGCUGUUCUGACGGUACCCAAAGAAUAAGCACCGGCUAACUUCGUG
rnacentral:rRNA from 1 species